GCCAGUUUUUCUUCCACUUUACAUGACUCUGGUGAAAGGGUAUUAUUUAUCAAACUAAGAGUAUAUUAUAAUCUUUGCAAAAUGGUAAAGAUCAAAGACUACCUUGCAUCAAGCAGAAUUACAGUGCCAUAACAUUUUUUCUUGUUACAGCUGAUAUCAAUCACAGCAUGACAGCAAGCCACAGAGAAUAUUUUUCACUCGGUAUCACUGACACUACAACAUCUGAAAUACAGCAGCCAGCUAGCAUGUGCUCUGGGUGUGAAAGGGAGCAACCGGCAGCAUCAGCUUGAGAGUCUUUUCACCAUGGUCACAGACUACCCAAGGAAAGGAAUGAGAUUUCUCUUGCUCCUCCCCAGGACCCUGCCAGGCUGUGCCUAUGACCACUUAAAAGCUGCGAUGAGUUCCUCUUGUUUUGCAAAAAGGAAAGUGACUUAAGAAAGACUGAGAGCAGCAAUAACACCUACGGAGCUCUCAAGACACCUGAAGAACUACUUUGAUGCAUCUGGUCCCUGCGGU